rnacentral:rRNA from 1 species
UACGUAGGGUGCAAGCGUUAUCCGGAAUUAUUGGGCGUAAAGAGCUCGUAGGCGGUUUGUCGCGUCUGCUGUGAAAACUGGAGGCUCAACCUCCAGCCUGCAGUGGGUACGGGCAGACUAGAGUGCGGUAGGGGAGAUUGGAAUUCCUGGUGUAGCGGUGGAAUGCGCAGAUAUCAGGGGGGAACACCAAUGGCGAAGGCAGAUCUCUGGGCCGUAACUGACGCUGAGGAGCGAAAGCAUGGGGAGCGAACAGG